rnacentral:rRNA from 1 species
CGUAGUGACCUGCGGAGGGAUCAUUACACAAAUAUGAAGGCGGGCUGGAACCUCUCGGGGUUACAGCCUUGCUGAAUUAUUCACCCUUGUCUUUUGCGUACUUCUUGUUUCCUUGGUGGGUUCGCCCACCACUAGGACAAACAUAAACCUUUUGUAAUUGCAAUCAGCGUCAGUAACAAAUUAAUAAUUACAACUUUCAACAACGGAUCUCUUGGUUCUGGCAUCGAUGAAGAACGCAGCGAAAUGCGAUAAGUAGUGUGAAUUGCAGAAUUCAGUGAAUCAUCGAAUCUUUGAACGCACAUUGCGCCCUUUGGUAUUCCAAAGGGCAUGCCUGUUCGAGCGUCAUUUGUACCCUCAAGCUUUGCUUGGUGUUGGGCGUCUUGUCUCUAGCUUUGCUGGAGACUCGCCUUAAAGUAAUUGGCAGCCGGCCUACUGGUUUCGGAGCGCAGCACAAGUCGCACUCUCUAUCAGCAAAGGUCUAGCAUCCAUUAAGCCUUUUUUUCAACUUUUGACCUCGGAUCAGGUAGGGAUACCCGCUGAACUUAAGCAU